UUUAAUCAAAUUUGUAUGGAGUUGGAACGUCUGCCUACGUUUUCCGCUAGAGGCGCUGUUUCAACUGCAUACAAAUUUGAGUUA
rfam:Bombyx mori DNA, contig: Bm_scaf87_contig33955, strain: p50T/Dazao, build 2, whole genome shotgun sequence.